GUUAAUGUAGUUUAAUUAAAACACUAGAUUGUGAUUCUAGUAAUAACAGUUAAACUCUGUUUGUUGACC
rnacentral:tRNA from 1 species